GAUGAACGCUGGCGGCGUGCCUAAUACAUGCAAGUCGAGCGAACAGAUGAGGAGCUUGCUCCUCUGACGUUAGCGGCGGACGGGUGAGUAACACGUGGAUAACCUACCUAUAAGACUGGGAUAACUUCGGGAAACCGGAGCUAAUACCGGAUAAUAUAUUGAACCGCAUGGUUCAAUAGUGAAAGACGGUUUUGCUGUCACUUAUAGAUGGAUCCGCGCCGCGUUAGCUAGUUGGUAAGGUAACGGCUUACCAAGGCAACGAUGCGUAGCCGACCUGAGAGGGUGAUCGGCCACACUGGAACUGAGACACGGUCCAGGCUCCUACGGGAGGCAGCAGUAGGGAAUCUUCCGCAAUGGGCGAAAGCUUGACGGAGCAACGCCGCGUGAGUGAUGAAGGUCUUCGGAUCGUAAAACUCUGUUAUUAGGGAAGAACAAAUGUGUAAGUAACUAUGCACGUCUUGACGGUACCUAAUCAGAAAGCCACGGCUAACUACGUG
rnacentral:rRNA from 1 species